GUCCUUGUAGUGUAGUGGUUAUCACAUCUGUCUUACACACAGAAGGUCCCUGGUUCAAGCCCAGGCAAGGACA
rfam:Trichuris suis scaffold71.23, whole genome shotgun sequence.